rnacentral:rRNA from 1 species
UACGUAGGGGGCUAGCGUUGUCCGGAAUCAUUGGGCGUAAAGAGCGUGUAGGCGGCCCGGUAAGUCCGCUGUAAAAGUCAAAGGCUCAACCUUUGAAUGUCAGUGGAUACUGCCGGGCUAGAGUCCGGAAGAGGCGAGUGGAACUCCUGGUGUAGCGGUGAAAUGCGCAGAUAUCGGGGAGGAACACCUAUGGCGAAGGCAGCUCGCUGGGACGUUACUGACGCUGAGACGCGAAAGCGUGGGGAGCAAACAGG